CAAAAUGAUGACAAAGAGCUAUUGCUCGAAUAAUCCCAGCUCUUCGAAUGCCUCGUCUAAAUUCAACGCUAGAGGCAAUAAUGAGAAGAUGUCCCUGUCUGAAUGU
rnacentral:snoRNA from 1 species